rnacentral:misc_RNA from 1 species
GAAAUGCGAUAAGUAAUGUGAAUUGCAGAGUUUUGUGAAUCAUCGAAUCUUUGAACGCACAUUGCGCCCCUUGGUAUUCCAUGGGGCAUGCCUGUUCGAGCGUCAUUUGUACCUUCAAGCUUUGCUUGGUGUUGGGUGUUUGUCUCGCCUCUGCGUGUAGACUCGCCUCAAAACAAUUGGCAGCCGGCGUAUUGAUUUCGGAGCGCAGUACAUCUCGCGCUUUGCACUCAUAACGACGACGUCCAAAAGUACAUUUUUACACUCUUGACCUCGGAUCAGGUAGGGAUACCCGCUGAACUUAAGC